GCCAGACUCCUACGGGAGGCAGCAGUGGGGAAUAUUGCACAAUGGGGGGAACCCUGAUGCAGCGACGCCGCGUGGGUGAAGGAGUAUUUCGGUAUGUAAAGCCCUAUCAGCAGGGAAGAACAAUGACGGUACCUGACUAAGAAGCACCGGCUAAAUACGUGCCAGCAGCCGCGGCAAUACGUAUGGUGCAAGCGUUAUCCGGAUUUACUGGGUGUAAAGGGAGCGCAGGCGGCACGGCAAGCCUGAUGUGAAAGCCCGGGGCCCAACCCCGGGACUGCAUUGGAAACUGCCGGGCUGGAGUGCCGGAGGGGCAGGCGGAAUUCCUGGUGUAGCGGUGAAAUGCGCAGAUAUCAGGAAGAACACCGGUGGCGCAGGCGGCUUGCUGGACGGCAACUGACGCUGAGGCUCGAAGGCGUGGGGAGCAAACAGGAUUAGAUACCCUGGUA
rnacentral:rRNA from 1 species